UCCCAGGAGGUCUGAGGCUUCUGCUUCGGCUUGUCAUUUCUACGGUGGACUCUGACAUCAGCAGGAGACUGAGGAUUGUGAGCGUUACUCACUUCGCUUUGUAUUCGGUGGCAAUUCUCCCGAAGGGCUCAUUAACCUUUGUGAAGCUGGUGCCAGGAAAGGUUAUCUUUCUCAAGCAUUUCGCUCGUGCUUGGACACCAUCAAGGUGGAAAGUUUUCUCAGUACACCGGAUCCAUGAUCGGACUGCCUGCAUCACAUCUGAAAUGCUGGCCUCCCAGGAACUCCUUUAAUGGCCCAAACAUGUGGAAAUGGAAAGUUGAGGCUUAAGGGCUUUGCACAAGCCUGCAACAGGAAUGCUGGGAUUUGAGCUUACACCCUUCCAAGCAAGACUACUUCUGCACAGAGAGCAGCUCCAGGAGGGCGUGGGAUGCUUUAUGUAUUAGUGUCAUGAAGCUGGCGUGGGUGCCAAUGAGACCAUGAACAAACACAGAUAUACUGUCAAACAUCCUGGAGACAGUUAAAACUGAAGAUCCUGGCCUUCUUGUUCAGCAUCAGACUGCUGUAAACUGUCGGUUAAUUCGUUUUUGGCCUCUUAGACGAUAUACACCUCACUAAGCUGAGAGCUGAAGCCGCCACAAGGAUGUAGCCUACUAGUGAAUUAUAUAACUGAUUCCUGGUUUUUGCUCUUCAUUUUAGGAUCUUUUUUUAACCUUUGAUGAAUUUCUGAGCUAAUUUAAAAUAAAUAAAUAAAUUACUGUGCCAUUCUGCAUUGGAAUGCCACAUUUUUUCCCUCCCUCUGGGAAAACAGCCCAUGCCGGAUAUAGUAUGAGCUGUGCCUCAUAGAAGCUAUGAUCUAUUUUAUCUACUUUUGUUUGUGUCAAAAAAUUGAAAGUAAUUCAGAGGUGAAUUUACUGCUGAAGAAAUUCAGUGCAUUGAAAAAUAAGAGUUAUUAAGAGUUAAGAUCUUUAUACAAAACAAGUGAUUUUUCAGCUCCUAUGAACCUGGAUGUUUGUGUCACACAUGUUGAUUUAAUUACAUCAUAUGAUAAUAAAGUUAUGAUCAACAUGAAUAAUAAAAAAUAAAAAAAGUUGGUUUUGUCUGUA